ACCACUGGGAGUCUCCAUGAUGGCCUGGGUGAUGCUCCUCCUCUCCCUCCUCAGUACCAUCUCAGGUGCCCUCUCCCAGCCUGUCCUGACACAGUCACCCCCUGCAUCUGUCUCCCUGGGAAAAGAAGCCAAGAUCACCUGUACCUUGAGCAGUGGCUACAGUGGCUAUGGUGUUGAAUGGUACCAGCAGAAGCCAGGGAAGGCCCCCCAGUUUGUGAUGCAUGUGGGCAAUAGUGGGAUGAUUGGAUCCAGGGGGGAUGGGAUCCCUGAUCGCUUCUCAGGCUCUGGCUCUGGUCUGGAUCGAUUCCUGUCUAUUAACAACAUCCAGACAGAAGAUGAGUCUGACUUUAUCUGUGGGACAAACCAUGGCAGUGGGAGCAGCUACGUGUAA